GAGUCGGGGUGGCCGUCAAGGAGGCCUCUCAGAGAAGCUGGCCUUUGAGCAAAGGCUGCAGGGUCCGGAGAGUCAAGGAGCCUCCCCGGGGACUUCGCCCAUUGACAAGCCCUUGACACAUGCGGGAUGACCUUCCUCCCGGAACCCAGCGGCAUCACUGUGAACACUUUGCAAAGGGCAAAGACAACCUUAGCUUGACCUUAGCCUGACCUCCAGGAUCCUGAACCUGAUCAUUUUCCCCUCAGAGGAUGGUUUCCUGCUUCU